rnacentral:rRNA from 1 species
UACGUAGGGUGCAAGCAUUAAUCGGAAUUAUUGGGCGUAAAGGGCGCGUAGGCGGGGAUGUAAGUCAGAUGUGAAAUUCCAAAGCUCAACUUUGGAGCUGCAUUUGAAACUGCAUUUCUCAGAGGGAUGGCGGAGAAAGCGGAAUUCCACAAGUAGCGGUAAAAUGCGUAGAUAUGUGGAAGAACACCGGUGGCGAAAGCGGCUUUCUAGCUUAACCCUGACGCUGAGGCGCGAGAGCAAGGGGAGCAAACAGG